rnacentral:rRNA from 1 species
AACGAACGCUGGCGGCAUGCCUAACACAUGCAAGUCGAACGAGACCUUCGGGUCUAGUGGCGCACGGGUGCGUAACGCGUGGGAACCUGCCCUUAGGUUCGGAAUAACUCCCCGAAAGGGGUGCUAAUACCGGAUAAUGUCUUCGGACCAAAGAUUUAUCGCCUUUGGAUGGGCCCGCGUUGGAUUAGCUAGUUGGUAGGGUAAUAGCCUACCAAGGCGACGAUCCAUAGCUGGUCUGAGAGGAUGAUCAGCCACACUGGGACUGAGACACGGCCCAGACUCCUACGGGAGGCAGCAGUGGGGAAUAUUGGACAAUGGGCGAAAGCCUGAUCCAGCCAUGCCGCGUGAGUGAUGAAGGCCUUAGGGUUGUAAAGCUCUUUUAGCCGGGAUGAUAAUGACGGUACCGGGAGAAUAAGCCCCGGCUAACUCCGUG